rnacentral:rRNA from 1 species
AUUGAACGCUGGCGGCAUGCCUUACACAUGCAAGUCGAGCGGCAGCGCGGGGGCAACCCUGGCGGCGAGCGGCGCACGGGUGAGUAAUACAUCGGAACGUGUCCUUUCGUGGGGGAUAACCAGUCGAAAGACUGGCUAAUACCGCAUGAGAUCUCACGAUGAAAGCGGGGGACCGCAAGGCCUCGCGCGAUUGGAGCGGCCGAUGUCGGAUUAGCUAGUGGCGGGGUAAAAGCCCACCAAGGCGACGAUCCGUAGCUGGUUUGAGAGAACGACCAGCCACACAGGGACUGAGACACGGCCCAGACUCCUACGGGAGGCAGCAGUGGGGAAUUUUGGACAAUGGGGGCAACCCUGAUCCAGCCAUGCCGCGUGUGUGAAGAAGGCCU